rnacentral:rRNA from 1 species
AUUGAACGCUGGCGGCAGGCCUAACACAUGCAAGUCGAACGGUAACAGGAAGAAGCUUGCUUCUUUGCUGACGAGUGGCGGACGGGUGAGUAAUGUCUGGGAAACUGCCUGAUGGAGGGGGAUAACUACUGGAAACGGUAGCUAAUACCGCAUAACGUCGCAAGACCAAAGAGGGGGACCUUCGGGCCUCUUGCCAUCGGAUGUGCCCAGAUGGGAUUAGCUAGUAGGUGGGGUAACGGCUCACCUAGGCGACGAUCCCUAGCUGGUCUGAGAGGAUGACCAGCCACACUGGAACUGAGACACGGUCCAGACUCCUACGGGAGGAAGCAGUGGGGAAUAUUGCACAAUGGGCGCAAGCCUGAUGCAGCCAUGCCGCGUGUAUGAAGAAGGCCUUCGGGUUGUAAAGUACUUUAAGCGGGGAGGAAGGGAGUAAAGUUAAUACCUUUACUCAUUGACGUUACCCGCAGAAGAAGCACCGGCUAACUCCGUG